rnacentral:rRNA from 1 species
AGCUCCAAUAGCGUAUAUUAAAGUUGUUGCAGUUAAAAAGCUUGUAGUUGGAUUUCUGGUAGGAGUGACCGUUCCGGACUUGAUUGUCUGUGUAUUGUGUUGUCUCCAGCCAUCCUUGUGGAGAACUUUUCUUGCACUAAUUUGUAGGGAUUGGGACCUGCAUCGUUUACUGUGAAAAAAUUAGAGUGUUUAAAGCAGGCAAUCGCUUGAAUACAUUAGCAUGGAAUAAUAAGAUAGGACUUUGGUACUAUUUUGUUGGUUUGCAUACCAAAUUAAUGAUCAACAGGAACAGUUUGAGGAUAUUCGUAUGAACAUGUCAGAGGUGAAAUUCUUGGAUUUUGAUCAGACGAACUACUGCGAAAGCAUUUAUCAAGGAUGUUUUCAUUAAUCAAGAACGAAA